rnacentral:rRNA from 1 species
GACGAACGCUGGCGGCGUGCCUAAUACAUGCAAGUCGAGCGGACUUUCAAGAAGCUUGCUUUUUGAAAGUUAGCGGCGGACGGGUGAGUAACACGUGGGCAACCUGCCUGCAAGACGGGGAUAACUCCGGGAAACCGGGGCCAAUACCGGAUAAUAUCUUCCUUCGCAUGAAGGAAGGUUGAAAGGCGGCGCACGCUGCCGCUUGCAGAUGGGCCCGCGGCGCAUUAGCUAGUUGGUGAGGUAACGGCUCACCAAGGCGACGAUGCGUAGCCGACCUGAGAGGGUGAUCGGCCACACUGGGACUGAGACACGGCCCAGACUCCUACGGGAGGCAGCAGUAGGGAAUCUUCCGCAAUAGACGAAAGUCUGACGGAGCAACGCCGCGUGAGCGAAGAAGGUCUUCGGAUCGUAAAGCUCUGUUGUCAGGGAAGAACAAGUACCGUUCGAACAGGGCGGUACCUUGACGGUACCUGACCAGAAAGCCGCGGCUAACUACGUG